AAUCUAGUUCUAUGUUGUAAGCUAGUUCUAAUCUAUUUCUAAGCUAGUUCUAAGUCUUAGUUCUAAGCUAGUUCUAGACUAUAUAGCACAUUUUAAGUCCUCCAUGUUAGCGCUGCUAAAGACUUACAGGCUGUGACGCUGAGACGAAAGCCUUGACUACGUUUUGAUCAGUAGCUUCAAAGAGAUGACUAGAACUUCCUUUGAAGCAGCUGAUUACAAUGUAGUGAAGGAAUAACCACUAAACGAAGGCAGCACCAUGUUGAUGACACCGAGAAACAUGCAACUCUCAAAGCUAAGCGAAAAGAAUCAGCUUGGGUAAGUUUCAACUCAUUCAUUUUUGUUGCUGUUGGUUUCAUUUUUUUUCUUUCAUAAUACCUUUAUUCAAGUCAUAACUUCAUGGAAGUUGGAGGGCGGAAUCUGAACACUGAUCUAAAAAAAAAACACGUCUCUAACGAUUUUUUCUAGAAAUUUAACAGUUGAUUUAUAUUUGAUAUUGCUGAGAAAAGAAUUACUAGCUCGUUGGCCAAAUGGGGAAAACUCUAGUUUGAUCGUUAUAAUUUUUUAAAGAAUAAAUAAAUGUAAAUUUGGCUACAGUUGGUAGACUUAGGUCUAGAGCCAACAUCGGUUUUGAAAGGACACUCGCGUUGUUGAAAGGACUAUCGCGUUCGGGAAUUUCCGAAAGAGCUUAAUAGAUUAAUAUUCAGGAAAAUUUUGCGCAUUGUCUUCUAAGUCAAGAUUUAAGGCCCAGAUCUAUAUCAUUGGAAUUAUUGAAGAAAAAAAAACAACAACAGUUGUAUGUUAUAAUUUAAGUUGCUUUGAGUUUAUUGAUAGAUUAUCUUAGCUUUGCUUAUAUCUUUACGUAAAUAUAAUAUAAAUUACAUCUAAAUCUAGAUCUAGAAGUAGAUCUAAACUAGAUCUUAAGAUCCAGAAGUAGAUCUAGAAGUAAUCUAAAAGUAGAUCUAGAAGUAGAUCUAGAAUUCUAGAUCUAAACUAGAUCUUAAGAGUCUACGAUUAAUAAACGUACCAAUAAAGAAUUGAUUUCUUAUACAAUGCCGGAUGGCCUAGUGGGUAGAAUCAUUCUAUGAAGAAGCUAGCAGUGUCAACAUCACAAAUUAUAUAUCCAAUUUGAACAAAACUUUAUUUUAAUUAAUUUAUUUGCUUUUUUAUAGUUCAAUUAUGUUUUUUUUUUUAAAUUAUCGUCAUAAUCUGUCCCUUGACUGUUGCAGUAGGGGUGCUGUGACUGUUCACGUAACCAGAUCCCUACAUUUUUCUCAUUCAACAUCUGUUCUUAGCAGAAUAUCGAGAGGCCGGUCCAUCUUUAUACAAUGUCCAGCCAGCUUUGUUUCAUACUCCCUCCACUGUCCCCUGAAGAAUGACUUUAGACCAGUGGUGUAGAUAUGGUGGUGGAUUGGGGGGGGGGGGGAGAAUUUGAAAAUCCCCCAAAUGAGUGUUCGAAAUUUUUUUUAAAAUUAAAUAUUAAAUAAACGCCAUUAUCUCAUGUCAUAAGGCCGUAUGCCAAAAUGCAGGGUCCCCUAAAGAUGUCAAGCUCCCGUGCCCCCCCCCCCCAAAUGAUGGCAAACUCCUAGCUACGCCACUGCUUUAGACUGUGAGUCAUGGCUUACAAUGUGAGCAAACCAAAGACAGUAAAAGACACUUGCUAGUUAUUUUCCACAAUCUGUCAGAAGAAUGGUAUCUUGCAUGAUUUAAGAAACGACUAAUUGUUUCUUUUUAAUGUGUCUGUAGCUAGACGUAUCAAGUUCGAGUCCCACAACUGGAGGAGCAUAGGACUGAAGUGUAUGUCUGGUCACUCGAACUGCUUGAGCGCUAUGAGACAUAACAUUGAAUAGCCGAGGACGCAGAGCCCUCGACUUAAUCUCAAUGGGAGUUAAAUCUCGCGCAUAAUGGAAGUCUCUUGCGAAGGCUGUGGAACCAAGACCAAUCAUUAUAAUAGGCAUGAACACUGACCUGUAACGACGCAAUCUGUGGGUAGUGGAGACCAAUAGCUCAUUGCCACGUCACAGGUCUGUACAAUGUGGCAACGAGAUAUUCGUCUCCAAUCUCCACUGACUCGAGGACAAGCUUUAAUUUGUUUUUUCGGAUAAAUUCAGAAAGCUAUUUCUAAAAAAAAAAUACACUUUCAUUGGUGACCUA